GAUGAACGCUGACAGAAUGCUUAACACAUGCAAGUCUUUGGCGAAGCUGUGCUUGCACAGCCUAGCCAAGGCGGACGGGUGAGUAACGCGUAAGGAACUUGCCCUGCAGUCAGGGAUAACAGGCGGAAACGACUGAUAAGACCUGGUAAAGUCAGGCGGACUCAUGUCCAGCCUGAUGAAAAGAGAUGCUGCAGGAGAGCCUUGCGUCCUAUUAGCUUGUUGGUGGGGUAACGGCCCACCAAGGCGAUGAUAGGUAGCCGGCCUGAGAGGGUGGACGGCCACAAGGGGACUGAGAUACGGCCCUUACUCCUACGGGAGGCAGCAGUGGGGAAUAUUGGACAAUGGGGGCAACCCUGAUCCAGCAAUUCUGUGUGCACGAUGAAGGUUUUCGGAUUGUAAAGUGCUUUCAGCAGGGAAGAAAAAAAUGACGGUACCUGCAGAAGAAGCGACGGCUAAAUACGUG
rnacentral:rRNA from 1 species